rnacentral:rRNA from 1 species
AACGAACGCUGGCGGCAUGCCUAACACAUGCAAGUCGAACGAGACCUUCGGGUCUAGUGGCGCACGGGUGCGUAACGCGUGGGAACCUGCCCUUAGGUUCGGAAUAACUCCCCGAAAGGGGUGCUAAUACCGGAUAAUGUCUUCGGACCAAAGAUUUAUCGCGUUUGGAUGGGCCCGCGUUGGAUUAGCUAGUUGGUAGGGUAAAAGCCUACCAAGGCGACGAUCCAUAGCUGGUCUGAGAGGAUGAUCAGCCACACUGGGACUGAGACACGGCCCAGACUCCUACGGGAGGCAGCAGUGGGGAAUAUUGGACAAUGGGCGAAAGCAUGAUCCAGCAAUGCCGCGUGAGUGAUGAAGGCCUUAGGGUUGUAAAGCUCUUUUACCCGGGAUGAUAAUGACAGUACCGGGAGAAUAAGCGCCGGCUAACUCCGUG